UACGUAGGGGGCUAGCGUUGUCCGGAAUCAUUGGGCGUAAAGCGCGUGUAGGCGGUCCGGUAAGUCCGCUGUGAAAGUCGGGGGCUCAACCCUCGAAUGCCGGUGGAUACUGUCGGGCUAGAGUGCGGAAGAGGCGAGUGGAAUUCCUGGUGUAGCGGUGAAAUGCGCAGAUAUCAGGAGGAACACCGAUGGCGAAGGCAGGUCUCUGGGCCAUUACUGACACUGAGAAGCGAAAGCAUGGGGAGCGAACAGG
rnacentral:rRNA from 1 species